rnacentral:rRNA from 1 species
UACGCAGGGGGCUAGCGUUGCUCGGAAUUACUGGGCGUAAAGGGCGCGUAGGCGGAUGUCUACGUUGGGGGUGAAAUCCCGGGGCUCAACCUCGGAACCGCCUUCAAUACUGGAUAUCUUGAGUUCGGGAGAGGUGAGUGGAAUGCCGAGUGUAGAGGUGAAAUUCGUAGAUAUUCGGCGGAACACCAGUGGCGAAGGCGACUCACUGGCCCGAUACUGACGCUGAGGCGCGAAAGCGUGGGGAGCAAACAGG